AUUGCAGUCUGCAACUCGACUGCAUGAAGUCGGAAUCGCUGUAAUCGCAGAUCAGCAAAGCUGCGGUGAAUACGUUCCCGGGCCUUGUACACACCGCCCGUCACACCACGGGAGUCGGUCGCGCCUCGAAGCCGGUGGCCUAUCAGUAAUGGGGGAGCCGUCUAUGGCGAGAUUGGUAACUGGGGUGAAGUCGUAACAAGGUAGC
rnacentral:rRNA from 1 species